AUACCAUCAAGAGAGAUUGAGGGACAGGCCCUAAGAUAUCUCAGCAACCUACUGGAAAAGUGUGGUGCUAACUCCUGUCAGAUGGAAG
rnacentral:ncRNA from 18 species